rnacentral:piRNA from 1 species
UGCAAAGUUGUCUGCCAGCAUUAUUGCCAU